rnacentral:rRNA from 1 species
GAUGAACGCUGGCGGCGUGCUUAACACAUGCAAGUCGAACGGAAAGGCCCAAGCUUGCUUGGGUACUCGAGUGGCGAACGGGUGAGUAACACGUGGGUGAUCUGCCCUGCACUUCGGGAUAAGCCUGGGAAACUGGGUCUAAUACCGGAUUGGACCACUUCUUGGAUGUUGUGGUGGAAAGUUUUUCGGUGUGGGAUGAGCUCGCGGCCUAUCAGCUUGUUGGUGGGGUAAUGGCCUACCAAGGCGUCGACGGGUAGCCGGCCUGAGAGGGUGUACGGCCACAUUGGGACUGAGAUACGGCCCAGACUCCUACGGGAGGCAGCAGUGGGGAAUAUUGCACAAUGGGCGCAAGCCUGAUGCAGCGACGCCGCGUGGGGGAGGACGGCCUUCGGGUUGUAAACUCCUUUCGCUAGGGACGAAGCUUAUUUUGUGACGGUACCUGGAGAAGAAGAACCGGCUAACUACGUG